GAUGAAGAACGUAGCGAAAUGCGAUAAGUAGUGUGAAUUGCAGAAUUCAGUGAAUCAUCGAAUCUUUGAACGCACAUUGCGCCCCUUGGUAUCCCGAGGGGCAUGCCUGUUCGAGCGUCAUUUCACCACUCAAGCCUGGCUUGGUGUUGGGCGACGUCCCCUUUGGGGACGCGCCUCGAAACGCUCGGCGGCGUGGCACCGGCUUUAAGCGUAGCAGAAUCUUCCGCUUUGGAAGUCGGGGCCCCGUCUGCCGGAAGACCUACUCGCAAGGUUGACCUCGGAUCAGGCAGGGAUACCCGCUGAACUUAAGCAUAUCAAUAAGCGGAGGA
rnacentral:misc_RNA from 1 species